CCGUCUCUAAGGGGGUGCCCCAAUAUCACGGGCUGAGAUCAUACCCUUAGAACCUGAUCCGGGUAAUGCCGGCGAAGGGAUAUAUAUUAAUCACUUUU
rnacentral:ncRNA from 2 species